rnacentral:rRNA from 1 species
AUUGAACGCUGGCGGCAGGCUUAACACAUGCAAGUCGAGCGAGCGGCGGACGGGAGAGGAAUGUAAGGGGACUGCCCGAUAGAGUGGGAUAACUACUGGAAACGGUAGCUAAUACCGCAUACUAUCGGAUAACCCAUAUGGGAUUAGCUAGUAGGUGAGGUAAUGGCUCACCUAGGCGACGAUCCCUAGCUGGUCUGAGAGGAGGAUCAGCCACACUGUGACUGGGACACGAACCAGACGCCUACGGAGGCAGCAGUGGGGAAUGUUGCACAGUGGGCGCAAGCCUGGUGCAGCCGUGCCGAGUGUAUGAAGGAGGCCCUAGGGUUGUAAAGUACUUUCAGGCGGGAGGCGUUACCGACAGAAGAAGCACCGGCUAACUCCGUGCCAGCAGCCGCGGUAAUAC